rnacentral:lncRNA from 1 species
GUUAUUUGACUGGAGUGAGGUCUCAUGUCUGCUUAUGCGGUGGCUCGCUGCUCAGAACAGGGAGGAAGAGGGUAAUCUGGAAGAGUUUCCUGACCUACUCUGCUGCUGUGAUUAAACAACCACCAGGAAAUUUUGAUGACACUGUUCUCCUGAGCUCCUCCCUUUCCUCGGGGAAGAAAAGCAUUGAAACUACAAAAAUAAAGUGUUAUUUGGCUGGAGUGAGGUCUCAUGUCUGCUUAUGCGGUGGCUCGCUGCUCAGAACAGGGAACCAUUGGAGAUACUCAUUACUCUUUGAAGGCUUACAGUGGAAUGAAUUCAAAUACGACUUAUUUGAGGAAUUGAAGUUGACUUUAUGGAGCUGAUAAGAAUCUUCUUGGAGAAAAAAAGACUGGUACUUCUGAAUUAACCAAAAUCACAGUAUUCUGAAGAUGAUUCUACAAAGCCUGCUGUUUCUACAAAGGCUGCUGAUGAUUUCUACAAAGCCUGCUGUAGUGUUGCUGUGGCCUCUGCUUAAAAAAGUAGAAAACACAUUGAUGCAGCAUGUUCACCCCAACCUCCCUGCCUAAAGGCUCAGGGACCAUCUUGGAAGAGGAAGGCGCGUGAGAUUGUAAGAGCCGAAUUAGGGGGAUGGAGUGUGGAGAAUAAGGACACUUCAUCUUGGAUGCUCACCUGCCAAAUUGACUUCUGAUGAAAGCCAGCUCCAGAAAUGUGCCUACAGUUACUACUUUCACCUAAACCCUGCCCUUAGUCAAAUCCUUCUCUUCUUCUAAGCAAUCAACUUCAAUUCCUUGUAUAACCCACAGUAUAAAAGGGCUUUUAUACCAUUCUAUCCUAUUGCAUGUAAGCCUUGGGUCUGGGAGGUAACAGUGUGGGAUUCCACCAUCUCAUCUCCCUGCCACCCAAACAUGCCUGCUCUUCUUUAAGCAAUAUUAAAUGUUUGUACUUCAGAAA